rnacentral:rRNA from 1 species
GUACUACUCUCAGAGUUUGAUCCUGGCUCAGGAUAAACGCUGACAGAAUGCUUAACACAUGCAAGUCGAUGAUGGGAGCUAAGCCUAGCUUAGAAGAAGUCAUGGCGGACGGGUGAGUAACGUGUAAAGAACUUGCCCUCUAGACUGGGAUAACAGAUAGAAAUGUCUGAUAAUACUGGAUAUUAUUGUUACAUGGCAUCAUGUAGGAAUGAAAGGAUAAGAUUGCUAGAGGAGAGCUUUGCAUCCUAUUAGCUAGUUGGUAAGGUAGGGGCUUACCAAGGCGAUGAUAGGUAGCCGGCCUGAGAGGGUGAACGGCCACAAGGGGACUGAGACACGGCCCUU